GCACUAUGAGUCUGAUUUGCAAUGGGGAGGGGGAAGCAGCAAAUCCAGUUCAAGGCUUGAAAGAUUUCCACUGUCAUUGCUAGAGCUCUGCAGAGUCAGAACCCCUCGGUGCCAAGAACAAACACAUCAUCACCACCACAUAACGCAAACACGAUGCUCUUGUAAUCUGCUGUGGGACACUGGGAACCUAUCUCCCAGGAGAAGAGGCAGGCAGGGAAAGCCCUGGAAAUCUCUUUUGGUGACUAAAACCAUACUUUAUUGCAAAGUGCAUAAAGGACUGUCUAGCCUUUCCAGGCUGGCUUCCCACCUGCAGUGCAUUGCUGAUUUAAUAAGGGCUGAAAGGGAUUAUCAAGUUGUGAAGCUGUUUGCAUCCUACCGGGCUGUAAUGAAUGAAGGCUUUUGUUCGGCUCAGCCUAACUGAAUGUUUCUUGGAGUGGUCAUAGCUGAGGAAAGGCUAAGGAGAGGAAACAUGUUGCUCAACACAGCUCAGACUUCACUUCUAAACAUCAUCAUGAGGUUUGCAGGGUUUUCCACAAAAUACAUUUGGAGGAGCCAAGCCUUCAACACCAGCAGUUUUUAGUCAGACUGUUGGAAUGAUCAAUAAAUCGGCAGUGACUGAUCUCAGAGUCUGAGGAUGUCUACAAGGCACAAGCAGCCCUUUUAGGUGGUUCAAGGGCACUGCGGAAGGGGAUGAAGUCCGUCUCAAUGACAGUGUGCAAAAGAGCUGCACAGAAAGGAUUUUGAUAGCAGCACGCACAUCUGCGACUCAUUCCCCCAAGCUGAGGACAAAUUAAGAAUCUUCCAGCAAUUAGGGGAGAAAGCUUCAAAGUGCAAUCAGCAGACCUUAGAAGAAUAUGUGCCUGGGCUUUGAGGGAGACUAAUCCUGCUGCUUGCACUGGGUUCCUCUCUGCAGUGUGCAUUUUCCAAGGCCAAAAUUUUGGCCUGCUUCUCAGUCACACCAUAUAAAAUAACAAACACGCAGUCUAAGGAAAACAAUUUUUAAGACACAGUGGAACCCACUUUAAUGAAGAAAACUGUUAAAUGCAUAAAACCCCCAUGUGCCAAUGGAUAAAUGUGCUGGAAGUGUGAACUGUUAAACCAACAAAAUUGUUAACACAUCAUACUGCUGGGCAAAAAAAUAAAAUAAAGAAAAAAUAAAAAGGGAGUGAAACGGUUUUUUAACAUGCAACCCACUUUGCCUUUAUUGUUCACAUUCCUGCUGACAUAAAGUUUCCUGAUUUGUCCCCUGGGCCCAGAAAUAUGGCAAAAGGGGGAACAUUAAUUGUAUUUGCCCCCUUUAAACUGCCCUCCCUGCUUUUAGCUCACAGUGGCCAAGAAUAGCUUCAUGGAAUAGGGA